UACGGAGGGUGCAAGCGUUAAUCGGAAUUACUGGGCGUAAAGCGUGCGCAGGCGGUUUGUUAAGUCUGCUGUGAAAUCCCCGAGCUCAACUUGGGAAUUGCAGUGGAUACUGGCAAGCUGGAGUACGGUAGAGGAAGGUGGAAUUCCCGGUGUAGCAGUGAAAUGCGUAGAGAUCGGGAGGAACACCAGUGGCGAAGGCGGCCGGCUGGGGGCGCCCUGACGCUGAGGCGCGAGAGCGUGGGGAGCAAACCGG
rnacentral:rRNA from 1 species